GAUGAACGCUAGCGACAGGCCUAACACAUGCAAGUCGAGGGGCAGCACAUGCGUAGCAAUACAAUGGUGGCGACCGGCGCACGGGUGAGUAACACGUAUGCAACCUACCUGUAAGAGGGGAAUAACCCGGAGAAAUUCGGACUAACACCGCAUAAUACCUCGAAUCUGCAUGGCUUUGAGGUUAAAUAUUUAUAGCUUACAGAUGGGCAUGCGUAACAUUAGAUAGUUGGUUAGGUAACGGCUCACCAAGUCAACGAUGUUUAGGGGUUCUGAGAGGAAGGUCCCCCACACUGGUACUGAGACACGGACCAGACUCCUACGGGAGGCAGCAGUGAGGAAGAUUGGUCAAUGGGCGAGAGCCUGAACCAGCCAAACCGCGUGAAGGAUGAAGGUAUUAUGUAUUGUAAACUUCUUUUGUCGGGGAAUAAAGUGCGGGACGUGUCCCGUUUUGUAUGUACCCGAAGAAUAAGGAUCGGCUAACUCCGUGCCAGCCGCCGCGGUAAAAC
rnacentral:rRNA from 1 species